rnacentral:rRNA from 1 species
UACGUGGGGCGCAAGCGUUGUCCGGAAUUAUUGGGCGUAAAGAGCUCGUAGGCGGUUUGUCGCGUCUGCUGUGAAAUCCCGAGGCUCAACCUCGGGCUUGCAGUGGGUACGGGCAGACUAGAGUGCGGUAGGGGAGACUGGAAUUCCUGGUGUAGCGGUGAAAUGCGCAGAUAUCAGGAGGAACACCGGUGGCGAAGGCGGCUCACUGGCUCGUAACUGACGCUCGAGGCGCGGACAGCCGUGGGGAUCAAACAGG